UGCCCUGAAAACAGAUGAUAAACAGAAGAGUUGUAAGAUAUUUACAUUGGACAACUGUCACUCUGGCAACUGCUGCCUCGACUCCUUCACUAUUUUGGUUGGACACUUUUUCUGGCAAUUAGCAGUCAAACGACAAACCAAGGCAAAGUGUCUUCUAAACCUGCAGUCCGAGAUGCCGAGCUUUACCAGGCGUUCUAAAAGUCAGAAUUAAGCAGAGGCAGCUGACUCGGGCAGGACUGCACCCGUUACUCUGCACAGGCCACCUAGCAGCAGAGGAAGAAAUGAAUGCAAGUUCAGCACAUCCUGAAGCCAAAUAAGAAGCAUUCAUCCCUCCACCCUACCGCGAGUGUGUGCACACGUGUAUGCACAUGCACAGACCAAGAGAGGUAUCGAUGUUCCACCCAACCCCAGCACCCGGCUGACAGGGGGACAAGUUUUUCAAUGUGCAUGUUCAAAUACUGUCGAUGUAGCCUACAUACUAAUUUUUAAGACCGAACACUUUCUUUUAUUCCUCUCUAAGCAUUUUUUCUUUCUAAAGUGACCCUAGUAAUUUCAAAGUGUUAUCAACAGGGCUUGUGGUGCUGUAUAGUACAAUAACUAGUACAGUAAUUCAGUACAGUACUAAAGAUGCUGACACUUCCCAUUGUAAGUGUGUUUUGUAACUGUUUAAUAAACUUCACUACACUUCAAAUAUUA